GAUGAACGCUGGCGGCGUGCCUAAUACAUGCAAGUCGAGCGAACAGACGAGGAGCUUGCUCCUCUGACGUUAGCGGCGGACGGGUGAGUAACACGUGGAUAACCUACCUAUAAGACUGGGAUAACUUCGGGAAACCGGAGCUAAUACCGGAUAAUAUAUUGAACCGCAUGGUUCAAUAGUGAAAGACGGUUUUGCUGUCACUUAUAGAUGGAUCCGCGCCGCAUUAGCUAGUUGGUAAGGUAACGGCUUACCAAGGCAACGAUGCGUAGCCGACCUGAGAGGGUGAUCGGCCACACUGGAACUGAGACACGGUCCAGACUCCUACGGGAGGCAGCAGUAGGGAAUCUUCCGCAAUGGGCGAAAGCCUUACGGAGCAACGCCGCGUGAGUGAUGAAGGUCUUCGGAUCGUAAAACUCUGUUAUUAGGGAAGAACAAAUGUGUAAGUAACUAUGCACGUCUUGACGGUACCUAAGCAGAAAGCCACGGCUAACUACGU
rnacentral:rRNA from 1 species